UACGAAGGGGGCUAGCGUUGCUCGGAAUUACUGGGCGUAAAGGGCGCGUAGGCGGACAGUUUAGUCAGAGGUGAAAGCCCAGGGCUCAACCUUGGAAUAGCCUUUGAUACUGACUGUCUUGAGUUCGGGAGAGGUGAGUGGAAUGCCGAGUGUAGAGGUGAAAUUCGUAGAUAUUCGGCGGAACACCAGUGGCGAAGGCGACUCACUGGCCCGGUACUGACGCUGAGGUGCGAAAGCGUGGGGAGCAAACAGG
rnacentral:rRNA from 1 species